UACGUAGGGUGCGAGCGUUAAUCGGAAUUACUGGGCGUAAAGCGUGCGCAGGCGGUUUUGCAAGCCGGAUGUGAAAUCCCCGGGCUCAACCUGGGAAUGGCAUUUGGGACUGCAAGGCUCGAGUGCGGCAGAGGAGACUGGAAUUCCUGGUGUAGCAGUGAAAUGCGUAGAUAUCAGGAGGAACACCGGUGGUGUAGACGGCUUUCUGGACCGUAACUGACGCUGAGACACGAAAGCGUGGGUAGCAAACAGG
rnacentral:rRNA from 1 species